rnacentral:pre_miRNA from 15 species
UCGGCCGCCGCCCCCUGUAACAGCAACUCCAUGUGGAAGUGCCCGCUGGUUCCAGUGGGGCUGCUGUUAUCCGGGGCGGGGGCCAG